rnacentral:tRNA from 1 species
CCCUGGUAGUGCAAAUGGUAAAGCAUCUGCCUAUAAUGCAGGAGACCCGGGUUCAAUCCCUGGGUCAGGAA